UUGAAUUUAGUAUAUAUAGUUCUAAGGUACGAUUAAUUGCAGAUUAAUAAGAAUAAAGAAAAUAUAGUUCAAU
rnacentral:tRNA from 1 species